CCGCUGGGCCACAUGUGUCCACGGACACGGCAGCGUGUGAUGUCAGCGUGAUGUCACAGCGAGGAGAUGGUGUGACAACUGCUCCACUUACUGAGGGUUAUCCUCGCUCACAGCCUGCGUACGGCCAACAGCAAACACUGCUAGAGAAACUAAAGCAGGUUGGUUUUUAGGAAGUGGGGGCAGGAUGUUGCAGUAGUGGUUAGGCGGUUUGACGUCCAGCUGAAAGGGAUCUUUAGCCCUUCGAAACUGUGAUGAAGGGCUUUACAAAAGGAAAGGGAGUCGACUCGGUCUCUCGACCCGUUUCAACCCGUCUGCCAGCCUGGAGGCUCGGCCGAGGUCCUACCUUGUUGAAGCUGGGGAGGGGGUUGCCCUCUGGCGGGGACUCGAAGCAAACCGCCUCCUCCUCCUCGCUGGACUGGCGGAUAUGUGGCGGCGGCGGUGGUGGGGGGCUGCUGCGGGGGCUGCCGGG